rnacentral:rRNA from 1 species
UCAGGACGAACGCUGGCGGCGUGCUUAACACAUGCAAGUCGAACGGACCUUCGGGUUAGUGGCGAACGGGUGAGUAACACGUGGGUGAUCUGCCCUGCACUUUGGGAUAAGCCUGGGAAACUGGGUCUAAUACCGAAUAGGACCACGCGCUUCAUGGUGUGUGGUGGAAAGCUUUUGCGGUGUGGGAUGGGCCCGCGGCCUAUCAGCUUGUUGGUGGGGUAAUGGCCUACCAAGGCGACGACGGGUAGCCGGCCUGAGAGGGUGACCGGCCACACUGGGACUGAGAUACGGCCCAGACUCCUACGGGAGGCAGCAGUGGGGAAUAUUGCACAAUGGGCGCAAGCCUGAUGCAGCGACGCCGCGUGAGGGAUGACGGCCUUCGGGUUGUAAACCUCUUUCGCCAGGGACGAAGCGCAAGUGACGGUACCUGGAGAAGAAGGACCGGCCAACUACGUGCCAGCAGCCGCGGUAAUACGUAGGGUCCGAGCGUUGUCCGGAAUUACUGGGCGUAAAGAGCUCGUAGGUGGUUUGUCGCGUUGUUCGUGAAAACUCACAACUCAAUUGUGGGCGUGCGGGCGAUACGGGCAGACUGGAGUACUGCAGGGGAGACUGGAAUUCCUGGUGUAGCGGUGGAAUGCGCAGAUAUCAGGAGGAACACCGGUGGCGAAGGCGGGUCUCUGGGCAGUAACUGACGCUGAGGAGCGAAAGCGUGGGGAGCGAACAGGAUUAGAUACCCUGGUAGUCCACGCCGUAAACGGUNNGGNCUAGGUGUGGGUUUCCUUCCUUGGGA